AGUGAACGCUGGCGGUAGGCCUAACACAUGCAAGUCGAACGGCAGCACAGUAAGAGCUUGCUCUUACGGGUGGCGAGUGGCGGACGGGUGAGGAAUACAUCGGACUCUACUUUUUCGUGGGGGAUAACGUAGGGAAACUUACGCUAAUACCGCAUACGACCUACGGGUGAAAGCAGGGGAUCUUCGGACCUUGCGCGAUUGAAUGAGCCGAUGUCGGAUUAGCUAGUUGGCGGGGUAAAGGCCCACCAAGGCGACGAUCCGUAGCUGGUCUGAGAGGAUGAUCGGCGACACUGGAACUGAGACACGGUCCAGACUCCUACGGGAGGCAGCAGUGGGGAAUAUUGGACAAUGGGCGCAAGCCUGAUCCAGCCAUACCGCGUGGGUGAAGAAGGCCUUCGGGUUGUAAAGCCCUUUUGUUGGGAAAGAAAAGCAGCAGGUUAAUACCCCGCUGUUCUGACGGUACCCAAAGAAUAAGCACCGGCUAACUUCGUG
rnacentral:rRNA from 1 species